AUUGAACGCUGGCGGCAGGCCUAACACAUGCAAGUCGAACGAGUGGCGGACGGGUGAGUAAUGUCUGGGAAACUGCCCGAUGGAGGGGGAUAACUACUGGAAACGGUAGCUAAUACCGCCUACCAUCGGAUGUGCCCAGAUGGGAUUAGCUCGUAUUGGGGGUAACGGCUCACCUGGUCGACGAUCCCUAGCUGGUCUGAGAGGAUGACCAGCCACACUGGAACGUGGCCACGGUCCAGAAUCCUACGGGAGGCAGCAGUGGGGAAUAUUGCACAAUGGGCGCAAGCCUGAUGCAGCCAUGCCGCGUGUAUGAAGAAGGCCUUCGGGUUGUAAAGUACUUUCAGUGAGGAGGCGUUACUCGCAGAAGAAGCACCGGCUAACUCCGUGCCAGCAGCCGCGGUAAUUC
rnacentral:rRNA from 1 species